AUUGAACGCUGGCGGCAUGCCUUACACAUGCAAGUCGAACGGUAACAGGUUAAGCUGACGAGUGGCGAACGGGUGAGUAAUGUAUCGGAACGUGCCCAGUCGUGGGGGAUAACUGCUCGAAAGAGCAGCUAAUACCGCAUACGACCUGAGGGUGAAAGCGGGGGAUCGCAAGACCUCGCGCGAUUGGAGCGGCCGAUAUCAGAUUAGGUAGUUGGUGAGGUAAAGGCUCACCAAGCCGACGAUCUGUAGCUGGUCUGAGAGGACGACCAGCCACACUGGGACUGAGACACGGCCCAGACUCCUACGGGAGGCAGCAGUGGGGAAUUUUGGACAAUGGGCGCAAGCCUGAUCCGGCCAUGCCGCGUGCGGGAAGAAGGCCUUCGGGUUGUAAACCGCUUUUGUCAGGGAAGAAAAGGUUCUGGCUAAUACCUGGGACUCAUGACGGUACCUGAAGAAUAAGCACCGGCUAACUACGUG
rnacentral:rRNA from 1 species